ACCUGUUUAUCCUGCAGGAGGUUGCUGCUAUCAGAAUCCGGCAAGCCAUGCAAGUGAUUGUCGCAAGACAACGCAGACUGCUCAUUAACACGUCGAUAACGUAACGUGAAGAUUGGAAUAAACUCGGGAAACUGAGUGUAAUACCGAAUAGGGAACAAGGUGUGGAAUUCUCUUGUUCUAGAAAGCUUCGGCGCUUCACGAUCGGUCGGCGUCCUAUCAGGUAGUUGGUGAGGUAAUGGCUCACCAAGCCUAAGACAGGUAGGGGCCAUGAGAGUGGUUGCCCCGAGAAGGACACUGAGAUACUGGUCCUAGCCCUAAGGGGUGCAGCAGGUACGAAAACUCCGCAAUGCACGGAAGUGUGACGGGGGGAUUCUGAGUGCUUACGGUUUACCCGUAGGCUUUUCAUCAGGGCAAAUACCUGGUGGAAUAAGUGGUGGGCAAGACUGGUGCCAGCCGCCGCGGUAACCCCAGCGCCACAAGUGGGAACCACGAUUAUUGGGUCUAAAGCAUCCGUAGCCGGUCUAGCAAAUGCCCUGUGAAAUCGUUGCGCUUAACGUAACGACGUGCAGGGUAGACUACUAGACUUGGGACCAGAGGAAGAAGACGGUAUUCUUGGGGGAGCGGUAAAAUGUGAUAAUCCCGAGAGGACCACCGAUGGCGAAGGCAGUCUUCUAAUAUGGAUCCGACGGUGAGGGAUGAAAGCUAGGGGAGCGAUCUGGAUUAGAUACCCAAGUAGUCCUAGCUGUAAACGCUGCAUGCCAGAUGUUGCACAAUCUUCGAGAUUGUGCAGUGUCGAAACGAAGGUGUUAAGCAUGCCACCUGGGAAGUACGGUCGCAAGGCUGAAACUUAAAGGAAUUGGCGGGGGAGCACACCAGGGGUGCGGCGUGCGGUUUAAUUGAAUUCGACGCCGGGAAUCUCACCAGGGGCGCCGGCAGAAUGAAGCUCAGUCUAAAGGGCUUAGCUGACGAGCCGAGAGGUGUUGCAUGGCCGCCGUCAGCUCGUGUCGUGAGAUGUCCUGUUAAGUCAGGCAACGAGCGAGACCUACAUUCACCGUUGCUAACGCGUUCGUAAGAAUGAGCGAGCACACUGUGAGGACUGCCUUCGAAAGAAGGAGGAAGGUGUAGGCUACGGCAGGUCUGUACGGCCCGAAUCUCCUGGGCAACACGCGCGCAACAAUGGUCGUGACAAUGGGAUGCGACACCGAAAGGUGAAGCCAAGCCUCCAAACACGACCCUAGUAUGAAUUGAGGGCUGCAACUCGCCCUCAUGACAUCGGAAUCCCUAGUAAUCAGAGGUUAGCAUCCUCCGGUGAAUAUGUCCCUGCUCCUUGCACACACCGCCCGUCAAACCAACCGAGCAGGUUUUUGAUGAGCUACGUUUCUUAAACGUAGCGAAUCUGGGAUCAGUGAGGUGGGUUAAGUCGGCACAAGGUA
rnacentral:rRNA from 1 species